rnacentral:rRNA from 1 species
AUUGAACGCUGGCGGCAUGCCUUACACAUGCAAGUCGAACGGUAACAGGUCUUCGGAUGCUGACGAGUGGCGAACGGGUGAGUAAUACAUCGGAACGUGCCUAGUAGUGGGGGAUAACUACUCGAAAGAGUGGCUAAUACCGCAUGAGAUCUACGGAUGAAAGCAGGGGAUCGCAAGACCUUGUGCUACUAGAGCGGCCGAUGGCAGAUUAGGUAGUUGGUGGGAUAAAAGCUUACCAAGCCGACGAUCUGUAGGUGGUCUGAGAGGACGAUCAGCCACACUGGGACUGAGACACGGCCCAGACUCCUACGGGAGGCAGCAGUGGGGAAUUUUGGACAAUGGGCGCAAGCCUGAUCCAGCAAUGCCGCGUGCAGGAUGAAGGCCUUCGGGUUGUAAACUGCUUUUGUACGGAGCGAAAAGCCCUGGGUUAAUACCCUGGGGUCAUGACGGUACCGUAAGAAUAAGCACCGGCUAACUACGUGCCAGCCGCCGCCGUAA